rnacentral:rRNA from 1 species
UGGGGAAUCUUGCACAAUGGAGGAAACUCUGAUGCAGCGACGCCGCGUGAGCGAUGAAGCCCUUCGGGGUGUAAAGCUCUUUCGACGGGAACGAUAAUGACGGUACCCGAAGAAGAAGCUGCGGCUAACUACGUGCCAGCAGCCGCGGUAAUACGUAGGCAGCAAGCGUUGUUCGGAAUUACUGGGCGUAAAGAGUGUGUAGGCGGUGCUCUAAGUCUGUCGUGAAAUCUCCCGGCUUAACUGGGAGGGUGCGGCGGAAACUGGAGUGCUAGAGGGUGGGAGAGGAAAGCGGAAUUCCUGGUGUAGCGGUGAAAUGCGUAGAUAUCAGGAGGAACACCUGCGGUGUAGACAGCUUUCUGGACCACUUCUGACGCUGAGACACGAAAGCGUGGGUAGCAAACAGGAUUAGAUACCCCCGUAGUCC